CUAUUCUCGUUCCUUAUUUUAGCAAAAUCUGACUCUAUCGUAUUUGCCCAUUUCUGUCAAGGACAACCAUCUGGCCUUUUCCCAUUCAGUCUCCCGGUAAAAAUGUUUUUUCUAAUCUUUUGCUUUUCAGAUAUGUACUGCCAAUGGUAUUUUGGAAUAGUCGAUAAAUUCCUUGAUUUGUUUCGUUUUAUUCUAUUUUAGGGUCAUAUUUCGUCGUAAGUACUCUUCUAUCAAAAAUUUUCAUUAUUUUUUGGUCCCCUUAAGUUGAGUUAUACACCCACAAGUCAAUAUUGAGCGU